ensembl:lncRNA
AUGGAGUGGGAACAGCUCCGGGCACUGGUGAUACUCGGAGUUCUUUCCCUGGCCAGAGGCGACGCCCCUGAUGCCUCCAGUCCCUUCCAGUUCGGUGAGUGCGGGAACUGGGAGGGACUGGGAGGGUCCCCAAGGUGUCCCCAAAGUGUCCCCAGGUGUCCCCAGGUGUCCCCAAAGUGUCCCCAGGUGUCCCAAGGUGUCCCAGGUACCCCCAGGUGUCCCCAGGUGUCCCCAAAGUGUCCCCAGGUACCCCCAGGUGUCCCCCAGGUGUCCCCAAGGUGUCCCCAGGUACCCCCAGGUGUCCCCAGAGUGUCCCCAUCAUGUCCCCAGGUGUCCCCAAGGUGUCCCCAAGGUGUCCCCCAGGUACCCCCAGGUGUCCCCAGGUGUCCCCAGGUGUCCCCCAGGUACCCCCAGGUGUCCCCAGGUGUCCCCAGGUACCCCCAGCUGUCCCAGUGUCCCUGUCCCUGUCCCAGACUGGUGUCACCUGCGUGUCGGUGGCCUCACGGUGGCUGCGGUGCUGAGCGUGCUGGGGGUCGUCGUCCUGCUCAGUGGGAAGUGCAAGUGCCGGAGCAAGGCCAGGUGAGACCUUUGGGGACAUUCAGGGACAAUUUGGGGACAUCUGGGGACAUUUGGGGUCAUCAGGGGAUUUGGGGACGUUGGGGGAUGACAUCGGGGACACUUUUUGGGGGAUCUGGGGACGUUUUGGGGACCUUGGGGACACUGAGGGGGAUUUGGGGUUGGGGGAUUUGGGACAUUUGGGGGAUUUGGGGACACUUGGGGACAGUCUGGGGACACUGAGGUGUUCCCUCCCCUCCCCCACAGGUGCCGCCACCCCCCCCCGGAGCUGUCACCUCUGGCUGGGACAGGUGAGAGUCCCCUCCCCCCUGGGGACACCUUGGGGACACUUUGGAGACACUGCGGGACAGUGCCACCCCCUGAGUCCCCCUCUCUCCGCAGGAGCCUGAGCUGUCCCCAGGUGUCCCCAAAUGUCCCCAACAGGUGACACCGGAUGGGGGGGAGGGGUGGCGUUGAUGUCCCCGAAAUGUCCCCAAAUUGUCCCCAAAAUGUCCCCAAGAAAGGCAAUGAAUAAAAAUGGGUGAAAUAAAAACGGAUUUUUGUCACCGGGGGAGGGGACACGGGGACGGCGGGACAGCGGUGGCAUCAGGAGGGGACACAAGGGCUUGGGGACAUCGGGGCCAUGGUGGCCUUAGGGACAUUGGGACCAUGGUGGCCUUGGGGACAUCACUGGGCCAUGGUGGCACUGGGAGGGGACGCUGAGGUGAUGGUGGCCUUGGGGACAUCGGGGCUAUGGUGGCCUUGGGGACGUCGGGGCCAUGGUGGCACCAGGAGAGGACACUGAGGCCAUGGUGGCCUUGGGGACAUCGGGGCCAUGGUGGCCUUGGGGACAUCGGGGUGAUGGUGGCACCAGAAAGUGACACAAGGCCAAGGGUGACAUCGUGGUGGCAGUGGCUUUGGGGACGUUAGGUCAGUGGUGGCCUUGGGGACAUCGGGGCCAUGGUGGCACCGGGAGGUCAGUGGUGGCCUUGGGGACAUCGGGGCCAUGGUGGCACCGGGAGGGGACAUCAGGGUGACAGUGGCUUUGGGGACGUUGGGUCAGUGGUGGUCUUGGGAACAUCGGGUCAGUGGUGGCACCAGGAGGUGACACAAGCCCUUGGGGACAUUGGGUUGCCGGUGGCCUUGGGGACAUCGCGCGAGGGUGGCCCCAUGUCCCUGCUGGUGUCUGGUCGACAUCCCCACAUCCCUGCAGCUGCACGAGGCCGUGGUGGCACCGCCGUCCUCACGGUGUCCCCACAGUGUCCCCACCUUGUCCCCACGGUGUCCCUUCACGCCCCCAUCUCCACAACAUCGGGGUGGCCACCAUGCCCACAUCCCACCAGAUGUUACCACACGUCCCUCCAGAUGCCACCACAUGUUCCCCUGAUGUCCCCUGAUGUCCCCAUCUCCACGGUGGACUGGUGGCCACCAUCCUCGGCUGCCACCACGCGUCCCCUGAUGUCCCCGCGCCCUCAGGAACGCGAUGGCAGCUCUGGGCAUCCCCUCGGCGGCAGGCGGCCACC